GUGAGGAAUAUUGCGCAAUGGAGGCAACUCUGACGCAGCCAUGCCGCGUGCAGGAAGAAGGCGCUACGCGUUGUAAACUGCUUUUAACCGGGAAGAAACCCCAGGACGUGUCCUGGGUUGACGGUACCGGAGGAAUAAGCACCGGCUAACUUCGUGCCAGCAGCCGCGGUAAUACGAAGGGUGCAAGCGUUAUCCGGAUGCAUUGGGUUUAACGGGUGCGUAGGCGGAGCGUUAAGUCAGUGGUGAAAUCCUGCAGCUUAACUGUAGACUUGCCAUUGAUACUGGCGCUCUUGAGUGCGCUUGAAGUGGGCGGAAUGUGCCGUGUAGCGGUGAAAUGCUUAGAUAUGGCACAGAACACCAAUUGCGAAGGCAGCUCACUAAGGCGAUACUGACGCUGAGGCACGAAAGCGUGGGGAUCGAACAGGAUUAGAAACCCCAGUAGUCC
rnacentral:rRNA from 1 species